GUCCCCAUAGUCUAGAGGUUAGGACGCGGCCCUUUCAAGGCUGAGACACGAGUUCAAUUCUCGUUGGGGGCACCA
rnacentral:tRNA from 1 species